GGGAGAGAUUAAAUGUCCAGCAAACGACGGCAAUGUUGCCAGAUUCCUUUUAGCGGGAAUUUUAAAAUUUUAUAGCAGUUUGGUUUUAAAUUUGACAGUUCUGUUUUCUCAAGUCAAAAAUCUUAACCUUACUUUUACAAGUGAUUAAGAUUAUUUUAUUUACAUGUAAAUUGAAACAAUAAAUAUUGUGCUUUGUCAUAAUUUAAAACUCAUUAUGUUGAAGUCUUUUCCAGUUGAUAAAAUUGCAAUUCAAAAACUUUUAGGUAGAUUUGUACUGUAUGGAUGGCACAGGAAGAGAACAGAGAACAAGAGUACAAGAACAUGAAACAUCUUAUUAUGAAUGUAUAUGUAUGUGAUCCUCAAAAAAUUAUUUUUCAAAACAAGAUAGAGAAUGAGCUUUAAAAUCCCAAGGAUCCUGCAAAAUGUCUAUUUGGUGUACUAGUCGAAUAAUAGUACCUAUCUAAAAAUAAUGAAACUGUUUUAAAACACAUUAUGGGCAUGAGGAUGAUAUAGAGCACUUACAUAAAUACCAAAAUCAGAUAAAUAUCUCUUCAAAGUUUAUUUUGAGACUUUCUUCAAAAAUUAAACUUCAGACUGUCCAGGAUAGCAUAAUAGCAUAGGAGGCAAAUUAAGAAGAAUUAAUUUACUUACAAGAAGAGAUAUCACAAACAUUAAACUCUCUUAUGGCAUUGAUUUGAAAGAUGGGUAUAUGUACAAUGAUGAUGCAACCAGUGUUUAUUUUUGGGUUGAAUGCUUACAGAUUAUUUAUUUUUUCCAAUAUUAUUUUACAAACAACAGGGCAUACUAAUGGAUAUUCAUUCUGAAUUUAACAUUUA